UUCCUUGUCACUAUUUUAAAAGGUGUCCAGGGCGACGUGCAGUUGGUGGAGCUUGGGGGAGACCUGGUGAAGCCAGGGGGGUCCCUGAGACUCUCCUGUGUGGCCUCUGGAUUCACCUUCAUUAGCUAUGCCAUGAGUUGGGUGUGCCAGGCUCCAGGGAAGGGGCUGCAAUGGGUUGCAGCUAUUAGCAGUAGUGGAAGUAGCACAUACCACGUAGACGCUGUGAAGGGCCGAUUCACCAUCUCCAGAGACAACGCCAAGAACACGGAGUAUCUGCAGAUGAACAGCCUGAGGGCUGAGGACACAGCCGUGUAUUACUGUGAUCAGGACCACCAGGGGGUGCACACUGGUCACCACUUCUAUCUUGAAGUCCCAGGAGCAGAGACCAGAGGCUUCUACUGGACCAUGAGGAUCCUCAGGGAGAGGAGUUGGAUUGAAGGACCUUCGAUCUGCAGGGCAAAACUCAUGGAUACUUCAGGGGCUGAUAUCAGUUCACUGGUUGUGAGCUUUACCAUCCCUGUGGUGAAACCUAAUGUCCAUGUGAUGGGGGAGGAGGUGGAGCCUUAG